rnacentral:rRNA from 1 species
UACAGAGGUCUCAAGCGUUUGUUCGGAUUCAUUGGGCGUAAAGGGUGCGUAGGCGGCGCGGUAAGUCGGGUGUGAAAUCUUGGAGCUUAACUCCGAAACUGCAUUCGAUACUGCCGUGCUUGAGGACUGGAGAGGAGACUGGAAUUUACGGUGUAGCGGUGAAAUGCGUAGAUAUCGUAAGGAAGACCAGUGGCGAAGGCGGGUCUCUGGACAGUUCCUGACGCUGAGGCAACGGAAGGCCAGGGGAGCAAACGGG